UACGUAGGGUGCAAGCGUUAAUCGGAAUUACUGGGCGUAAAGCGUGCGCAGGCGGUUAUGUAAGACAGAUGUGAAAUGCCCGGGCUUAACCUGGGAACUGCAUUUGUGACUGCAUGGCUAGAGUUUGGCAGAGGGGGGUAGAAUUCCACGUGUAGCAGUGAAAUGCGUAGAUAUGUGGAGGAACACCGAUGGCGAAGGCAGCCCCCCUGGGUCAAGACUGACGCUCAUGUACCGAAAGCGUGGGGAGCAAACAGG
rnacentral:rRNA from 1 species